AGAGUUUGAUCCUGGCUCAGGAUGAACGCUGGCGGCGUGCCUAAUACAUGCAAGUCGAACGAGUUCUGAUUAUUGAAAGGUGCUUGCAUCUUGAUUUAAUUUUGAACGAGUGGCGGACGGGUGAGUAACACGUGGGUAACCUGCCCUUAAGUGGGGGAUAACAUUUGGAAACAGAUGCUAAUACCGCAUAAAUCCAAGAACCGCAUGGUUCUUGGCUGAAAGAUGGCGUAAGCUAUCGCUUUUGGAUGGACCCGCGGCGUAUUAGCUAGUUGGUGAGGUAACGGCUCACCAAGGCAAUGAUACGUAGCCGAACUGAGAGGUUGAUCGGCCACAUUGGGACUGAGACACGGCCCAAACUCCUACGGGAGGCAGCAGUAGGGAAUCUUCCACAAUGGACGCAAGUCUGAUGGAGCAACGCCGCGUGAGUGAAGAAGGCUUUCGGGUCGUAAAACUCUGUUGUUGGAGAAGAAUGGUCGGCAGAGUAACUGUUGUCGGCGUGACGGUAUCCAACCAGAAAGCCACGGCUAACUACGUGCCAGCAGCCGCGGUAAUACGUAGGUGGCAAGCGUUAUCCGGAUUUAUUGGGCGUAAAGCGAGCGCAGGCGGUUUUUUAAGUCUGAUGUGAAAGCCCUCGGCUUAACCGAGGAAGUGCAUCGGAAACUGGGAAACUUGAGUGCAGAAGAGGACAGUGGAACUCCAUGUGUAGCGGUGAAAUGCGUAGAUAUAUGGAAGAACACCAGUGGCGAAGGCGGCUGUCUGGUCUGUAACUGACGCUGAGGCUCGAAAGCAUGGGUAGCGAACAGGAUUAGAUACCCUGGUAGUCCAUGCCGUAAACGAUGAAUGCUAGGUGUUGGAGGGUUUCCGCCCUUCAGUGCCGCAGCUAACGCAUUAAGCAUUCCGCCUGGGGAGUACGACCGCAAGGUUGAAACUCAAAGGAAUUGACGGGGGCCCGCACAAGCGGUGGAGCAUGUGGUUUAAUUCGAAGCAACGCGAAGAACCUUACCAGGUCUUGACAUCUUUUGAUCACCUGAGAGAUCAGGUUUCCCCUUCGGGGGCAAAAUGACAGGUGGUGCAUGGUUGUCGUCAGCUCGUGUCGUGAGAUGUUGGGUUAAGUCCCGCAACGAGCGCAACCCU
rnacentral:rRNA from 1 species